rnacentral:rRNA from 1 species
ACUCAAAGGAAUUGACGGGGGCCCGCACAAGCGGAGGAGCAUGUGGUUUAAUUCGAUGAUACGCGAGGAACCUUACCUGGGCUAGAACCGGCGCUGAAGAACUGUGAAAGCAGUUCGUCCUUCGGGACGGCGUUGGAGGUGCUGCAUGGUUGUCGUCAGCUCGUGCCGUGAGGUGUCGGAUUAAGUUCCAUAACGAGCGCAACCCCUACUGUUAGUUGCCAGCGAGUAAUGUUGGGGACUCUAGCAGAACUGCCGGCGCAAGCCGAGAGGAAGGUGGGGAUGACGUCAAAUCAGCACGGCCCUUAUGUCCAGGGCUACACACGUGCUACAAUGGUCGGUACAGAGGGCAGCUACUUGGCAACAAGAUGCGAAUCUCGAAAACCGAUCUCAGUUCGGAUCGAAGUCUGCAACUCGACUUCGUGAAGUUGGAUUCGCUAGUAAUCGCGCAUCAGCCAUGGCGCGGUGAAUACGUUCCCGGGCCUUGUACACACCGCCCGU